UACGGAGGGGGCUAGCGUUGUUCGGAUUUACUGGGCGUAAAGCGAGCGUAGGCGGUUCUUUAAGUCAGAGGUGAAAGCCCGGGGCUCAACUCGGGAACGUCCUUUGAAACUGGGGAACUUGAGUGCAGAAGAGGAGAGUGGAAUUCCAUGUGUAGAGGUGAAAUGCGUAGAUAUAUGGAAGAACACCAGUGGCGAAGGCGACUCUCUGGACUGUAACUGACGCUGAUGUGCGAAAGCGUGGGGAGCAAACAGG
rnacentral:rRNA from 1 species